GAUCCUGGCUCAGGAUGAACGCUAGCGACAGGCUUAACACAUGCGAGUCGAGGGGCAGCAUGAUUUGUAGCAAUACAGAUUGAUGGCGACCGGCGCACGGGUGAGUAACGCGUAUGCAACUUACCUAUCAGAGGGGGAUAGCCCGGCGAAAGUCGGAUUAAUACCCCAUAAAACAGGGGUCCCGCAUGGGAAUAUUUGUUAAAGAUUCAUCGCUGAUAGAUAGGCAUGUCG
rnacentral:rRNA from 1 species